CUCGGCAUUGGAAGGCCCUGGCUGAAGAGCUUCCCACGCUCCCUCCCUCCCUCAGUGUUUUUAACAAACCACUUUUUAAGGAGGCUUUUUAAGGCCCCCUCUUGGGUUAUGUCUGGUAGCUUCUUUAGUUUUGAGUUGUUGUCAUUUCCGUUUUUUAGCUUUUCAAAGGACGUAGAGUUUGAACUUGAUAGUGAUUGUGGUUUUGAACCUGACGAUUGAUUUGUUUCCUCCGUUUGGUUAAUGUUCUUGUUUUUUCUCGUCCCUGAUAUCCUGGGCAGGACUAUGUAAAUUCUAAUCGAAAAAGCCUAUAGAGCCUGACGGGGAUAACCCCUCCCCAGUUCUUAUAGUCCUGCGUUUCUCCUGGCAGGCUGUUGCUCGUGCUCUCCUAAUCAGGCUUGUAGUUUUCUCUCCUGUCUCUCUCCUUAGUUCGGUUCCUCUAUAUGUAUCCCAAAACCCCUCUGUAUUCGGUUAGUCAACUCCUUUACUUCGUGUUACUCUUACCCGUCCUCCCCCCCUCCCCCUGUCCUUUCCAUCUGUGUAUGGAGCACGCAGAUAGAGUUUUCAACAGGCAGGGAAGGAGGCUAAACGUUCGCCCAUCCGCAUGCUUUCCAAAGCGCUCAAGGCUUCCCAGUGACCCUCCUCCUUUGGCAGUUUCGCUCACUCCAGCCAGCUCUCAGAUCCUCCCUGUCCUGGUCUCGGCGGACUGGUCUCCGUCCGAGCAGGCAGUCGGAGAGGCUCCGCAUUCGAUCGGACCCCUCUCGGACUGCGAGUUCGUGAGCACUACGGAGAGGACGAGGCAGCUUGAUCACCCAAGGCGCUUAACGCGCAGCUCGGCGGCAGAGUUUGAGAGAUUAACAGAGCAGCUUCGCUUGGGUGCAGAGUCCCUCCGUGUCACCGGCCGCGCCCCUCCUUGAGAGUCGGCCGUUUGCCUCCCCGAUCCUACCUCGGCGGCCGAAAAACCGUCCGAGUGGAUGGAGUGAGAGGGCCUCAGUUUGUUCCCGCCACUGAGCGGCGAAAAACGGGCCUUGCUAAGAAGGCAGCAUUCCGCUGCUUUACCUCAGCGCUUUACGUGCUGCGAAAAUCAGCUCUCCCAAGAUGGCGGAUGCAUUGAGCGAGCGGGAGAAAAGCCCGCCACAACUCAGACCUGGACACAACAGACGGUGGUGAGAUCUGAUCAAUGUAUGGGGGGUGCGGGGACCUCUGAGAAGAAUGUUUCUGUAGCUAUUCCUAAACAGGUCCCACCCGAGUGGCAAGCAUGGCUAAAGAGUGCCAUAGUAGAUACUGUAUACCAAUUAAAGCCACUAAAGCAGUUAGAAAAGCUAUUUCAGCGCUUUGUCCAGAACUUUCAGGGGAAUCAGCUUGAAGUGGCUGUGAAGAGCGCUUUUGGGAGGCUCCCUACUGCCAACGCCCCACCAACCUCUGAGGAGAUUAGGCCGAUUGGCGGGCUGGCUAGCAACCUGACCGGCAGGGCAACGAGGCCAUCACGGGCAUCUCCUGCCCCUCCUAAGAUGGCGACGGUUGCGAGGAAUCCCUCCAUUUUACCUCAAGGAGCUGGUAAUGUAAAAGGGAGACAGUCUCUAAAAGGGCAGGAAAAGCCUAAGACUGUGACUAUGGUGUUUGGCCAGCAGGGGGAGUCUGCUGCAGAGACUGGGUCUAAAGAAUCCUCCAGUUCUAACUCUGCUUUUUUACCUAAGUCUGUGCUGCCACCUGAGUAGCAGGCAUGGUUUUGCAAUGCAAUCAUUGACACCAUCUGCCAGGUUAGGCCCCCUAAGAGGAGUAAGAGAGCCACAAAGGGGAGAAGGCAUAGGUCACCCAGUGUGGGCAGUCCUUCUCCCAAGAAGGCCAAAAGCAAACUUCUCCAUAGUGAGCUGGGCAAGUUGGCUGGCAUUCCUCUGAUGCUGCCGAUCAGACUCUGGAGACCCUAGGGGUUUACUUGCACCUAAAUUAAAUAAAUAAAUAAAUAAAUAAAUAAAUAAAUAAAAUAAUUUAAAAUAAUAAUAAUUUUUUUAAAAAUAAAUAAAUUGCAAACUCAGAGGGGCCUAAUCUGCCUUCUGACCCUGAAGACCCAGUUAAUGCAGGGGGAGGUUUUCAUCCGGACCCAGUGGUUUGGAGGGGAGGACACAGGUGAUGCCUCGGUGUCACAGCGCCUCUUUGUGGCAAAGGACUUCAGCCCACUGAUGUCCAGAAUUGUUAUAACAAUGGGACUGAGGCUGGGCAGAGUUCUGACUCUUGCGCCCAAGGGGACUUGGUCUUUCCUAGAGCACGCCCCAAAGACAGGCUGAUGCCCAUGCCAGAGUUGUUUGUGGAUGUAGUCAAACAGGAAUGGUUGACACCAGUUUUCAACUACUAGGCUAUGUCCAUGGCUAACAAACUUUGUCUUUUCAGCAGACCACUACAGAUAUGUUGAGGACACCAAAUGCGGAUGCCCUGAUUUCGCAAGUGGUGUCGGAUUCCCUGGUAUCUCGAGAGGGUGAGUUUUCUCUAAAAGACAUAGCUGACAAGAAGGCUGAGCUGUCAUUUAAUCGUGUCAUGAGAACGUGUCCCUGGUGGUCCAUGCGACAGCGGCAGCAUCCAAGGCAGCCCAUGACUCCUUAAUAUAGGUGGUCAGUCUUAUUAUAGGUGGUCAAUCUUCUGAGUGAUUCUCCAGGGGAACCAGUUAAGAUGUGAUGGCAACUAUUAAAGAUCCAGAAGGCACAGGUCCUUAUGGCCGAUGCCACUCUUCAUACGAUGAGAUUCUCAGCGCAAGUGGUGGUUUCAUCAUUUGUUGGCACAUGCCACCUGUGACUCAAAGGUGGACAGUUGGUUCUACCGCUAGGCUUAACCUCGCUACCGUCUCUUACGACGGCAAGAAGCUUUUUGGUGAGUCUGCCCUACAAGACAUUCUUGUAGAAUCGUCUGAUAAGUGAAAGACGAUGCCUUCAACCAAUAAAAAGACUGAUAAACAGCCUUUCAAAAGGCCCUUCCAAUACAAUCGGCCCUUUUAUAGCUUCUGGCCCUUCAGGGGCCGGGACAGAGAUACAAAAUUCCAGAGGGAAUCGUCAGAGAGCACCCUUUAGAGGGUUUAGUACCUACAAACGGCAGGCUGUUCAGUCAAAAGCUACUACAAUGACUUGAAGCAGGGAGACCUGCUCUCUUUUUUCGACUUAAAAGAGGUGUACCUACAUAUGCCUAUCCAUCCAAAGAGCAGGCGGUUUCUACGUUUCAAGUCGAUUUACAGUGCAGGCUCUGCUGUUCGGCCUGGCAUCCGCACCCAGGGUCUUCACCACGGCCCUGGCACCAGUCAUGGCCCACCUGAGACUUUGAGGGGUCCACGUUUUUGCGUAUUCAGACAAUUUUCUCAUGACAUCAAGCUCUCCAGAAGCAGCAGCAGUCGACCUAGCAGUAACUCUAUCCACCCUGGAACAACAAGGGUUCCUCAUAAACAAAAAGAAAAGCUACCUGACGCCCACUCACAGGAUUCAACAUCUGAGAAUGGCCAUAAAUACCUUGCAAGGGCUCCUUUUUCUACCAAGGGUAAGAAUCCAUACACUCAUAUCAAAAGCACGUCUGGCCUUCCAGUUAUGGGAGGGCCCAGUACCCAGUAGGGCUAAUGGUCUCCAUGCUGGAGGCAGUUCCUUGGGCGAGGUUCCACCUCAGGGAGUUGCAGUGGUUCCUCCUGACGUUCCAAUCUUUCAUUUCCAGAAGAAAGAACAUGGUGGUCCAUAUGCCGUCCAGGGUCAGGUUAUCGCUUCGGGGGUGGAGUUCCCCACAGAACUUGUACAGAAGGAAGAGAUUCUUAAGGUUCCCGAGAACGAUUGUGACGACGGACACCAGCAACAGAGAUUGGGGAGCUCAUCGUCUCCAAUUCUCGGUCCAAGGGAAAGGAAGUCAGGAAGAAAAGAAACACUCAGUAAAUUGGCUGGAGCUGCGAGCCAUCAGCCUAGCACUCUUACAUCUCCGCUCUCAAGUGUCAGACCGGGAUGUCCUGAUAAGCCGGACAAUACAACAACAAAGGCCCACGUCAACAGGCAGGGCGCUACGAGGUCCAGGUCCCUGUAUCAGGAAUCGAUCCUUCUGAUGAGUUGGGCAGAAGGCCAUCUGAAAUCCAUCGCAGCCCAGCAUGUGAAAAGGGACCUCAACGCAGUUGCUGAUUGACUCAGCAGAGAGGAUCUACUCCCAGGAGAAUGGGCAUUGAACCUUCAAGUUUUCGAACAACUGACAUGCAGGUGGGAGUCCCCAGUGGUAAAUCUGUUUGCAACACCUCUCAACGCAAGCUAAACAGGUACAUCAUCAGGUUCCACUGCCGGUGGGCGGUGGGGACAGAUGCCCUCUCCUGACAAAUGUCCAAGGGGCGUACUGUAGGCCUUUCCUCCAAUACCACUUCUAACAUGAGUGUUAAGGAGAAUAAGAGAACAAAAGGCAGAGGGCAUCCUAGGGGCCCCCUACCGACCAAGAAGACCGUGGUUUGCCGAGCUGGUUUCUCUAACCACGGACAGGCUGUGGCAUCUACCAGUCGGGCAAGACCUGCUGCUCCAGGGACCAGUGCGUCACCCGAACCCAGCAUGUUUUCAGCUAGCUGCAUGGAGACUGAGCGGCGGUUGCUGAACGCACAGGGACUAACACAAAAGGUGGCUGCUACCAUCCUGGCCUCUCGGCGUCCUUCCACAAACAGGAUAUACCAGUAUACAUGGAGGGCAUUUCUCCGUUGGUCUUUCCAACAUCAGAUCCCAAGAGGUCAGUCCACGCUAAACCACUUUCUACAGUUUCUACAGGAUGGGGUUGAUAAGGGUCUAAGGCCAAACACACUCAGACAGGCAGGGCCUCUCUGAUCCCGCUACUGAUGGGGAAGGUGGCAAAGUUAUCGAUAUCACACCCUCUGAUAUGACGAUUCUUAAGAGGGGCGACUUUGCUGUCACCACUGGUGGCACACCGCUUCCCUACAUGGACUCUCAAUCUUGUACGGAAAGCGUUGCAAAGUACACCAUUUUAACCCAUCAGAUCGAUUUCUCUCAGAUUAUUAUGCAUGAAGCUGGCCCUCCUGGUGGCCGUGACGGCGGCAAGGCGGGUGUCUGAUUUAAGGUCACUGUCAGUGCAUGAAUCCUACUGCAUAAUUUCACAGGAUGCGGCUUGUCUGAUACCGGACCCAUUCAGCCGUCCAAAGGUCCUGUCGGAUUUCCUUAUGGCACAGGAUAUAUACCGUCCAUCAUUCUGCCCACAUCCGACACACCCUCAAGAAAAACUGUGGCAUAAACCUGAUGUACGGCGCUGCCUGAAACGAUACGUUGAACGCUCUGUGGAUUUUAGGAAGUCCCCUAUUCUUUUCAUAGUUACCAGCAUCUAUGGGAGAAGCAGUUUCUGCUAGAGCUUUCAAAAAAUGGAUCAGAGCUUGCAUUUCUCUGGCAUAUGAGACUCAAGAGGUGCACCUACCUGAACACAUACUAGCUGAUUCUACCAGAUCAAUGGCUACGUCAGCGGCUUUCACUACUUAUGCACCGGUUCAAGAAAUAUGUAAGGCGGCAGUCUGGAAGAACCCCUCUACUUUUAUUAAACACUAUAAGCUAGACUUAUAUGCCUCCACUCAGGCGGCCUUUGGGAGGUGGGUUCUUCAGGGAGUUUCUCCCCAAAAAUAGAGCAAAUCUGUGGGAUCCCUCCCGGAGACGUACUGCUUGGGUAUGUCCCAAUGAGAUGCCUCGAUAGCAGCAACCGAGAACGGAGCAUUGGUCACUUACCGUGAAGGCUUCUUCUGGUUGCUGCUGUCAAGGCAUCUCAGCCCACCCUAAGUUUCUGGGUAUUAUUACAUGUAUAUAGUUGAGACUUGCUCUACUCCAAGGGAAUGUUUUUGGGGAAGAUUGUAAGGAGACAUCUUGUCCUUUCAGACUCUUUCAGUCAUUUGGACCCUUUAUGUUGGCUCUGCUGUAUUCAGUUGUUCUAUUAUAUAUGGUUCUAUGUACUUUAACUGUUAACUCGGCCUAUAAGAACUGGGGAGGGGUUAUCCCCGUCAGGCUCUAUAGGUUUUUUCUAUUAGAAUUUACAUAGUCCUGCCCAGGAGCACGUGAGGAGGAUAACCCAAUGAGAUGCCUUGACAGCAGCAACCAGAAGAAGCCUUCACGGUAAGUGACCAAUGCUCCAUUCUUUCACAAUUAAGAAGUUGUAAAUGAGGAGCCAGCGUGGUGUAGUGCUUAGAGUGCAGGACUAGGACCGGGGAGACCCGAGUACAAAUCCCCAUUCAGCCAUGAUACUCUAAAUGAAGAGCCAGCGUGCUAUAGUGGUUAGAGUGCUGCACUAGGACCGGGGAGACCCAGGUUCAUAUCCCCAUUCAGCCAGGAUACUUGCUGGGUGACUCUGGGCCAGUCGCUUCUCUCUCAGCCUAAGCUACUUCACAGGGUUGUUGCGAGGAGAAACCUAAGUAUGUAGUACACCGCUCUGGGCUCCUUGGAGGAAGAGCGGCCUAUACAUGUCAUAAAGAACAAAAGAAAGGAAGAAUGUACACUUGACUUUCAGUGGACUGCAGAGUUUCUGCUUUUGGUUUUGCUUUUUAAAAGAGGCGACCACGCAAGAGUGAUUAGCCCCACUCAGCUAGAGAUGAAUGCAUGGAAUAUUAGAUGAGAGAUAUUGAGGUUGUACACGACCUCCUUUGCCGGGGCUGGAGGAGGCCAGGGGGACGGCGAGAUGGCUCCUGCUGUCCCCCCCCCGCCCGCCCACGAACGUUUCUCCUGCCCCACUGGCGCUCCCAGAGGUGUGCCCCACUCAGAGCACUCUGAGUCACACCUUCAAGACUCUACAGGGCUUGGGGCCGGGGAAGCUGUCGGAGAGCAUUUGCCCAUAUUAAUUUUCCAGGGCCCUCCCCGUUCUCAGGCCCUGCUCUGCUCGCUCAUGGCCCCGCUACUAACAGAGAUCCUCUUUGUGGGGACUAGGGACAGGGUCUUUUCGCUUGUUGCCCCUCGGCAUUGGAAGGCCCUGGCUGAAGAGCUUCCCACGCUCCCUCCCUCUCUCAGUGUUUUUAACAAACCACUUUUUAAGGAGGCUUUUUAAGGCCCCCUCUUGGGUUAUGUCUGGUAGCUUCUUUAGUUUUGAGUUGUUGUCAUUUCCGUUUUUUAGCUUUUCAAAGGACGUAGAGUUUCAACUUGAUAGUGAUUGUGGUUUUGAACCUGACGAUUGAUUUGUUUCCUCCGUUUGGUUAAUGUUCUUGUUUUUUCUCGUCCCUGAUACGUGCCGUAUUGCUGUGAGCUGGCCCGAGCAGUAGUGUACUGGAGGGGCGGGGUCUAAAUUUUUGAAAGAAGGAAUAAUCCCGAAAAGGUUGAAUGGGGAUUCGAACUCGGGUACCCCCGGUCUCUAUCCUCGCCACUCUAACACCUACGCUAUCCCAGCGCUCAGGAUUCCAAGGCUCAGAACAAUCCUAAGAACAUCGCAACAGCCCUGCUGGUUCAGGCCCAAUGAAGCCCAUCUAGUCCAGCAUCCUCUUUCACACAGUGGCCUUCCACAUGCCAAUGGAAGCCCACAGGCUGCAGUUGAGGGCACGGCAUCUCUCCUGCUCUUACUCCCCUGCAAAAAACUGGGACUCAGGGGCAUCCUGCCCUUCAGCCUGGUGGUGGCCUAUAGCCCGCCCUCCCACUAGCAGCCCUUGAGAAUCCUCUCCUCCAUCAAGUGAUGCAUGCCCCUCUUGAAGAGAUGCUUCAAUAGAAGGUCCACAGGAGGUGGGGGGCAUCUUGGGGCCCUCUUGGUGCCUCCAAAAUCUGCUGCCUUAUGCUACCGCCCCAUCUGGCUUCACGUCAAGGGCUCCUCCCAGACACAGCUGCCGCGUCGACAAAGGCUUUUCUCCUCAGACAAGCCCUCCAGAGCUACCUCAGAAGGCCAACUGCCAAAACCCAAACAAUUCUCUCCCCUCCCCUCCUCAAGAUUCUCUUUGUAUCAGGGACCCUGCUUCCCACUGGACGCUAUUCAUGACACUCAAGCAGGAGCUGGGUCUUGUGGCAGCAAGCAUGACUUGUCUCCUUAGCGAAGCAGGGCCCACCCUGGUUGCAUAUGAACGGGAGACUUGAUGUGUGAGCACUGUUAGCUAUUUUCCUCAGGGGAUGGAGGAGCAGAAGGUUGCAAGUGCUCUGCCGCUCCCUGCCUUCUCCAAGAGAGAUUCCUGCCUGCAAUCCUGGAGAAGCCACUGCCACUCUGAGAAGACAAUACUCAGCUAGAUAGACCAAUGGUCUGACUUGGUAUAUGGCAGCUUCAUGUGUUGCUAUGUUCCUAUUCUUGCCAAGAAUUCUGGACGAGUGGACCUUGAUCUGAUACAGAUCGGUACUUCUGAGCCUUCUGAUCAUUUAAGGGAGAUCUGUCAUUCUUUCACAAUUAAGACGUUGUAAAUUAUGAGCCAGCGUGGUGACCGUGGUGUAGUGCUUAGAAUGCAGGACUAGGACCGGGGAGACCCGAGUUCAAAUCCCCAUUCAGCCAUGAUACUCUAAAUGAAGAGCCAGCGUGCUAUAGUGGUUAGAGUGCUGCACUAGGACCGGGGAGACCCGGGUUCAUAUCCCCAUUCAGCCAGGAUACUUGCUGGGUGACUCUGGGCCAGUCGCUUCUCUCUCAGCCUAAGCUACUUCACAGGGUUGUUGCGAGGAGAAACCUAAGUAUGUAGUACACCGCUCUGGGCUCCUUGGAGGAAGAGCGGCCUAUACAUGUCAUAAAGAACAAAAGAAAGGAAGAAUGUACACUUGACUUUCAGUGGACUGCAGAGUUUCUGCUUUUGGUUUUGCUUUUUAAAAGAGGUGACCACGCAAGAGUGAUUAGCCCCACUCAACUAUAGAUGAAUGCAUGGAAUAUUAGAUGAAAGAUAUUGAGGUUGUACACGACCUCCUUGACCGGUGCUGGGGGAGGCCAGAUACUACCAACGGCCAGGCAGAUUUGACAUGGACUCUCCGAAUCGUGGGUCUGGAUUCCUCUUCUGAAAGUCCAAGUGAAGAAGACUGAUGGUUUGAUGGAUGGUUUGCUUUUUACUGAAAACCAGUGUUAAGAUACAUAGUCUACCAGGCUGGGUGAGCUUAGCUUUCCUUCACUCCUUCUCAGUUCCUUGGGGUGGUCACUAGUCUGCUCCUCUGCCUUCUGCCAUUACAUCACCUCCCAUCAUCACAUUCCACUUCCAACAUUCUUCUGGCCCCUACCCCACCACCUGCAGGUGGCCAUAGGGACUACCAUAAACAAUUUCACACCACCACACUUCAGUUGUCCACUUCCUAAGCGACGCUCCAGAGGUUAAGGAUUGUCGACACGUGUCUGCUCUCACCGGAGAGAUUAUCUUGUUGUCUUCUUUUUGUCCUGUGGUCUUUUGAAGACAUUUACUGUCAUCAUGGCAGGUAGGAAAUGGUGCCACCCAGGAGGAGUCAGGGGCAAUUCAUUGGGGUGGAUUGUGUCCAGGGGCCCCUCUUGGGCCACAUUUUCCUUGCUUUCAUUUCUACCACACCUCUCCUUUCCAAUUUGUUCUACCUUCUGCCCAAAGAGGUUAUCUGUUUCCCGAAUAUUUUUAUUUAGUUCAUUCUUGCCUGGAAUCAUCAUGGCCCCUUACAAAGUGGCACAAGCAAGAGACAGUUCCCUUCCCUGAGGAAAUUACAAUUACAAUUCACAACAGGAGGGAAGAGGGAGGCAAACGUCACAGAGUGGGAGUGUGCAGAAAGGCCUAUUUGAAGUACUUCUUUUCAGUUCAGAAAGAGGAGGGGAGUGCCCUUUAACUUUAACAGGUAGAGGGCUUUCUCUGGGUCUGGAGAUGGCCGACAUUUGGAGGAGAGAGCAACUGGCAUCCCCCAGGGGAGUGUUCUACAGAGGGACACACAUUCGGCAAGACUUUUACUAUCAAGGCUAUAAGCGGUUGGUAGUUUUUCUGCAAUCAUCCAUUCAGGAUAAAGUGUGGGGAAAGGAAGAUGGAAAUGAUUCAGCAUCAUUUUUGAAUGGAUUCUCUGAGGCGAUUCUCACGAUCGGCCAAAAGCGGGCUAAGGGAGCCUAGCCCGCUUUUUGGCGAGCGUGAGAACCACCAGGCGAGCCCAGUGUCCUCAAAGCAGGUAACUCGCUUAGGUUGCCCUCCCCUUAGACGAGGUUAGCAGAGCGAAUCCUCCGCUAACCCAGUCUAUUUGAUCGUGUAUUGCUACGGUGUGGCUCCGCACCACAGCAACACAUGAGGAGAACCCCGCUGGGAGGCUGAAACAAGCCUCCCGGCCCUGGGGGUCUCUGCAGGAUGCCCCCCGCACUUGCCCUGGGAGCUACCUACCACCCAACCCACAAAAGAAAUGGGCAAGUGGGAGAUUAACCACCCCCACCCCCACACAGACACAAACGGAUCCUAUGGGUUGUUGUGUUUUGAAAGUUUAAAAAAAUAUUAAUUACCUUUCCCCCUGUUUUUUUGUAGGUUGGAUGGUAGGUAGGACCCAUCAUGCCCUACCACCCAACCCAUGUUGGUGUCCCUUGGACCUAUCCAUGGGAAACAGUGGGUUGAUUCAACUUCCCCCUUGUUCCCUAUGGGAGAAUCAAGAUUCUUUUGGUGACUUUCCCAAUUGAUUCACUGAAACUGCCGGCAUUGCCCAGUGGGGUUAGAUGAAUGGCUGGCUGGUUAAAUGAAAAUUUUGAAUUGAUUUAUUGUGAUCUGAUCACAGGUAACACCGAAUUGCAAACACUGAUUUGUGCACACCUCUAGAACACAACACCAGGAAGCCCUUGUCUUGUCUGGCCACAAGCAGUGGGUCUAAGAUCAAGGGCUGGGUAGUUUGAGGCCAGGCCCCCUGAUUUGAGGAGGGGGAUGCGUCAAAGACUUCCAAGGUCAAACCCAACUCAGAGUCUAUGAGAUGCAGCAGCAGCAACUCUGAAAGGCCUUCAGGAAGGAAAGGCUGAGGGUGGGAGGAGUGUGCCAGUUCUCCACUUCAGGGUUCUUGGGCUUCCUCACCUGAAAAGUGUUCCAGUACUCAGAGCACCCCGGCAGAGAGGCGGGUGUCGCAUCUGACGGUGCCUCCUUGAAAGGGACUGAAGCUAUAGGUUCAGCCGUAGGCCUGGGGCCAGGUGCUUCUUUGCUCAGUCUCAGGCCCAUCUCUUUCCCGCCCUUGCAGGGCUGUUGUAGGGAUUACUGAAAUUGGGUGCCCCUUUCCUUUUUCUUGCAGACGAGUCCACCCAGAAGCGGCCAUCUGCUGGCUCAGCCUCUACGACCGCGAGCUCUGCAGGGGAAGGAGGAGGAGGUUUGCCAAGCAGCUUCUGCGACACACCAAGGGCUGCGCCCAGGGUGGGUGCCUCGUGUUGCUCUGAACCUGCAAGCCAUACACACCAUUUCAACAGGGAGUAGGACUGCUCUGAGCCUUGCCUGGCAGAGCCCAAGGCUGAAAGAUUUCCUCGUCAAUGCAGAGGGGCCUGAACUUGAAUACUUGUGUCGCAUGCCUCCUAGAAGAUUUUCUCUUUUUUCCUGCCUGGCACUGAAGUGAUAUGCCAUUGCUGUAUCCCCUGCAUUGCAAGGGAGAUUGCACCAUAUUAAUAGAAGAUGUAUUGUUCUACUUGUGUCCCUGCAGAAAGAAAGAUCAAUAUUUUACUGAUCACUCCAGAAUGGGGACCCAGAAGACUUAAAGGAGCUGCCGGUUUAAACCACUGGUCUAUCUAGCCCAGUGGGGCUUACUCUGACCAACAGAAGACGAAGUCCUUUUCAGUUGUGUGGGAGUGGCACCGAUGCCAAGGCUGGGGAAAAGCAAUGAACUGAAGAGAGGUGAUGAAGCAGGAAGUGGAUCACCCAGUUGCCACAGCAACAAAAGCAUGACCUCACCCAUUGCAGGAGAUAUCAGGGGAAUACUGGGCUUGUUGCCAGGUAACAGGGAUGUGUUCCCUUGCAAUUCCUCAUGAGGGACUAGGGAAGGAAAUACUGCAUGAAGUGGGUUUUGGCUAGGAGGCAGCAUUUAAGGGCUAGAGUCAGCUGGUCCAAAGGGGAUUCCUCCAGAGCUCGGCUCGGUGCUUGGAAGCUGAGCCAGGGGAGAAGAAAGGAAGGAAAAUGGGUGCUACCUAGCCUAAGGCCUUAGCCAGAGCCUUGUACCAAGAACACUGAACUCCCUGCCAAGGCCUUCUUGGCCUCCCCUUUAGAAGCAGAGAUGCUUGAGACGGAAAAACCUGCAUGCAAAGCAAGCAGUCUUUCCACUGAGGGCCAAAUAUAAUACGUGCAUCAAUCAUUUGGCCUGGCAUGUUUGGGUUUGUUUUGUUUUUAACUAAGCAGCAGCUGCAUGCGGGCAGGGCAUGUAAGACCAGGACCGUGGUGCACAAGAUCCUCUCCCUCCACAGUGUGGUCCUGACCAAAAUCAUGCCCUUCAAGCUGAAGGGAAAGCUUCCACUGGCACCCACAGAAGUUUCCUUCCCAGAGUGAAUAAGAGCUUCAGGGGCACGAUUUUCAUCAGGACCCGAUUAAGGUGGGAAAGGGUUAAAUACUCCCUUUCUGUGCCGUCCCAUUCCGGUUGCAUUACCCCGCCCACCACCACCAAAUUGCAACUGCUAUUUAGCUUUUUUAAAAAGGCAGACAUACAAACAUUUAGCAUGUAUUGUGAAGCCUGGGCAGUAAUAAUCCCAUGCAGCCUCCAAAACCUUGGAAAUGGAUGAAUGGUCUCAAUUUCACAGUAUCUCCUAAACAGGCCUGUUAGUGAGGAGAUCACAUGAGACCAGGCAGUUGGGUGCUGUGCAUAACCAGCUUCCAAGCACUAGCACUGCUGCCCAGUUGCUUCACCACACCAGUUGGUUCAUGGUGGCCAGGCCACUGGUGGAGAGCACGUUCUGUGGGUGCUCUGUAAAAGUGCUUCUUUCCUCCCAUUCCUCUCUGGAAUUGGAUAGUGAGUGGCAGAGGCACUCAACCCAAAGGUGAGUGGGGAGCACGGAUCCAGAGUGCUAUCUGUGCCAGAGGAGGACUGGUUGUACCUGUAUCAUUCUAGAACUGACCUGGGAAAGGAAGCAUAGCACAUAAUGCGCAGAAGGCAUUUAUGCUGGACCAAUAUUGUCAGAUCAGUUACACACUGGAAGGUAGUCACAAAACAACUGCAAUAAUGUUUUUUCAGGAAGCAUCACAACUUCUCUAGAAGAUCCUGCUCAUAUCUUUCUGUAUGCGCAACCAGCUUUAAAUGCUCAUAGCACCCAGAUUCUCCUGACCCCUCAGCCCCCAGCUUCAGAUUGAUUCUUAAAUUCAAGAAUCUUUAGUAGAUGCACAAUUUCAUCCAGUAAAUGUAUUUAAAGUGGCUUUGGGGUUCAAUGCUUUUAAAACGUUAUCCUGUUCUGUCAUGGUAUGUGGCUGUUGGCCUUUUCUUUCACACCUGGUAAAUGUGACAAUCAGAGACUCCUACCAGCAUUUCCUUGGACCUUUUAUUUACCCAAUGGAGUAAAUGUCUCUCUAGCUCUACCUGAGGUUCACUCUCCUCUCUGCACUCUUACUGGAGUUUUAUUUUGCUCUCAAAACAAAACCACCCGUGGGAACAAAAGCUUAGCAAUCAAAGUGCCAUUUGCAUCCAGUAUUCCAGAAAAGAGUAAGUAAGAAUCCCUACUCCCCCACCCUCAGAUCAAUGACCCACCUGCCUUCUAAGCUGAAGAAAGGAAAGGUCUGCCCAAAUGAACGCAAUGCUGAGCAGGAAGAGAAGAGAAGAAUCCUACACUAAGCACCUUGGUUAACUGAAAGCAUUUGCCAACACCUGUUGAAUGGAGUUAGCUGAUGGCUUUCAUUUUCAGGGGCAUCUUUAAGAACACACAAGCAGAAUCCUGCUGGAUAAGAUCAAAGGUACACCUAGUCCAGUAUCUUGUAUACCUCCCAGUGACCAGCCAGAUGCUGGCUUAUUUUCCAGAGCUGGCUUAUUCCAGAGCCAUCACAAUCUUACAGAACGGGGAUGGAUGGCGGUGGUACACAAGUUGGACUUGGCCCCGGAAGCAGUUUUAUCUGCUUCCCCUCAAAUACUUGUCCUACCAAAUUUUGAUCAAGGUAUGGAGCCAAAAAAAAAAGCUCACUUGUAAGGAGACAGAAGCAAGAAGGCUUUGCAGGAAGCCCUUACUGCUAGGCCAACUUUAUAAUAAAGCUGCUAGAGCCCAAUUAUGUGUGAGGAGGGACCAGAGACUUCCAGGUCCCAGAGCAGUGUCUGGAAAAUUGAGCAACCUUCUAGAAUACAAAAGUUGUCCAUCCCUGACACAGAACACAACUGACAUCUCUUAAAUUCUACAGUUCCAUAGAACUUCCAUAGGACAAUACACCACAGCCUCCUCCCUCUCUCUGAGGGUAAAAUAAUAUACCGUCCUGGUGCUAGCAAUACACCCGUUUAUUAGAAUAAAUCUAUACAUGUGUGCAUGUUUAUGCUCACACACACAUAUCUAUAUAUACGCUCUACACAUUCCAUUCCCAGAACAUAAAUAAGCAUUUCGGAGAAUGGCAAGUUACAUACAUUUAGCAGCAAUGGCCCUGAUACCCCUUUACCAUCAUCCCCAUCAUCCCAGAGACUUGGGUUCAUUCAGACCUCAUUUCACCGCAUGUGGCCACCACUGCCCAGGGUGUCUCCGCCCUGUCUUCCUCUCAGCACACCUUCUCCUUCAGUUUUGUCAUAAGGAAAGCAAACUUAAAAACCCACGUUGUGACCUCCACUCCUGAAGAAGAAGCUCUGGGUCAGGACCUCCAUCCUAUCCCUCCAACUGGAUGAGUCACAGGAGGGAUCGCCAAAGAAGGCACACCUCACAGAAUUAACCACACACACACACACCCAAACUACCAACUGGGUUUUUUCUCCUCUUUGUUUUUGCCUAGGAUCUAGGGACAAAGUGAUAAAAACAAAACUCAAGUUCAGGUUGUAUCCUGCUAUGUUUCUUUUGUGACUUCUGGCUCUCCUUGGGCACACACUCUUGGCUUUGGCCGACUGGGAGGGGAGGAGCCCCCCGUGACUUGAGAGGAGGGCUGCUGUUGCCAGGCUUCACUCCUGCUUCAGAAGCAGGUGCAUCUUUGCUGGGUCCAAGGCUGCAGGAGCUAAUCAAAGGAUUCUGUGCAAUUGAGAAAAAGGGGGGCGGAAACAGAAUCCGUGGGUUGGACUUCUUUUUUCUUUUCCCUUUUGCACAAAGGCUCGGUUUCUGGCUGCUGCAUUUGAUUUCUGUCUCGCUUCAUUUCCAAAUGUGGCAAACAGCAUGCGUCAGAGGAGAGGGGGAGGGGAGGCAGCCUCUAGCACUUGUCAUCUUCUUCCGUAUCACUUAGUACGUCGAUGCCAGCCCCACACAUCACCCCUUGCGAUGCCCCUCCUCUCCUCCUCCUGCGGUAGUGCCCGUUGGGCAUCUGCCAGCUGUGCCUCGAACGAGGGCCGACUGCAAUCGUGUUGGAGCGGCCAAGGCUGGUGGCCACGGCAGCUUCAAAGCUUCCCACUUACCUGUCUGUUGGGGGUUUGUGAUCUGCCUUCACUGGGGGACCUGGACUGACGUCGCUCCGGAGAGUCACCAUCUGCUGGCGGACUCCUUUCCUCUGAGUUGCAACGGGAGAUGUCUGGAGAGAGCAAGUGCUUGCGUUCCUUGGAGCGGCCUCGCUCUCUGCCUCCCGACCGAUGGGUGUCAGAUCGGUGGCCUGUGUAAGACAAAGCACAGGGUUUCAAGACAAGUCCAUGACUGUCAAUAAUUUGUAUUCAGUCCUCAAAGCAGUUUGUAAUACAUGUAGAAUGUUUUUAUCCUUCUGUAGUGUUGAAGUUAGAAACUUCUUUUCUGUGCCUACUACUCUGCCAACAAGAUCAAAACCUCCCACAUUCUCACA